GACGGAAGAGCGAUAUCGAAACCUAGCACCAUCUCAAAAGACUUCCAAGAAAUUACGUUUCGAAAGUGAGGUAUGAAAACAGAAAGGUCCACCCUCUUUUCUUCCGGCGCUUGAAUUCAAAUGCCAGUAUUCUUGAUUUAAAUGAAUUGCCAUCAGACUAUACUGUAUUUUUUUAAUAUACUGAUAAUAUUUCACAGGCUAACUGAUAAUUGGAAAUCGGCAUGGAUUAAUUAAUUCACAAGUUAGAAACAUUAACUAAUAGCAAUAGACAAAGGACACAACAGUUUUCACAAUGUUUCUGAUUCUGAAAACACGCUAUUCGCAAUGUUGUAGGAUUGACAGCUUGCAUGUUUCUAACAUAACAUAUUUUUUGCUAAUUGUGUAGCUCAUAAAACCUCGGAUUCUGGAUUUAUUUUGUAUUACAUGAAGCUUGGCAAAUUUCCCUGGCACCCAAAAGUACUUUUUGCAUUUUGAAUGAUAAGCCGGACAGGAAAAUGGUCCAAUUCAAACACUUAUCAAGAGAACAUCCCUGGUCAUUCCUACUGCCUCUGAUCUAGCAGACUCACUAAACACAUGCUUCGUUUGUAAAUUAUGUCUGAGUGUUCCCAUGGCUAUUUCUUAAAUAAAAAUACAAGAGAA